rnacentral:rRNA from 1 species
AUACGGAGGGUGCAAGCGUUACUCGGAAUCACUGGGCGUAGAGCGCGCGCAGGCGGUCUUUUAAGUUGGAUGUGAAAGCCUACGGCUCAACCGUAGAACUACAUCCAAAACUAUUAGACUAGAGUGUGGGAGAGGAAGAUGGAAUUAGUUGUGUAGGGGUAAAAUCCGUAGAGAUAACUAGGAAUACCAAAAGCGAAGGCAAUCUUCUGGAACACUACUGACGCUGAGGCGCGAAAGCGUGGGGAGCAAACAGUAUUAGAAACCCGAGUAGUCC